AACAUUUCAUUUCACAUUUAGUGGAGUUUUUUUUGUUUGUUUUUGAUUUUUUGACAACCAUUUUUUUUUAAAUUGAUAAAAUGGAGUGAUAAAUAAUGUUUUGUUUGUCUGUUAACUUGAUAUUGGCACAAGCUGAAAAGUAGGGUUGUGUGAGGGUUGCACAUUUUUGCCCAUAAUCUACAAAUAAUGACAAACAACAAAAGUCUUUCAAAAAUCUGCAUACAGUAACUAAAGACUAAACUUGAUUUAAAAUCCCAUCUGAUCCAAGCUGAUAUGAUAUGAUGCGAUACGGUACAGUACCACACGAUACGGUACAGUAUGAUAUUAUACAGUACAAUAUGAUACGAUAUGGUAGGAUGUGAUACAAUACGGUACGGUAUGAUACAAUACGGUAGGAUAUGAUACGGUACGGUACGAUAUCAUAUGAUAUGAUACCGUUUGGUACGAUACGGUACGGUAUGAUACAAGCUGGUACGAUAUGUAUGAUACGAUAUGAAAUGAUUUGAUAUGACAUUUUACAGAAUGGUACAAAGCAAUAUGAUAUGAAAUGGUAUAAUCUAAUAGAAUAUGAUACACAGAAUGGCUAUCAGUGACUGUCAAUAACUUAACACUUAGUAUUUCCCAUGAUAAUAUCACUGUAAAAAACAGAAAAAUAGGAAUAUUAAUUGCAUUAGUUUUGUUAAUCUCUUUUGAAUCUGUCUCUUUCUUCAAAGUCAUACAAACAAAUACAAGUGGCUUACCUCAAAUGCCCCAAAGAGCUGAAGAAAGGCAGGAGAGGAACAAUAAAAUUAAGAUACAACAGCUCCAUCUGAGAUAAGUAUGGUCAAGUUUGGUCUUUAAGCUUUGACAUACUAACUCCUCUUUGUCAAAUCCAAUAAAAUAUUUCACUCUGGACUCUGAGAGAAAAUGACAGACCUUCCACAGCGCAUAUUUGGUUUGUUAUCCAAAUCCAUUCAUUGAAAGAGGUUGGAUGUGAUUGGGUGUUUUACUUUUUUAAAUAAUGCAGAAUAAGACUUGUGUGACUACUGCAGUUAUCAACAUGUUGUCUAGAGUGCAAGGAUAAUCAGCAUGCUGCUACCAAUGAGAGAAAGACUCUUUCUCACUCAGACCACACUGGAUAUCAUGCAGUGCUGCUAAAUGUUACUUCAGUGAGCACCAGUUUGCUUACAAGUCUUCUGUGCUUGUGUGACUGUCCACAGCUAACUGGACUGGCCUGUCAGGAUGGUGAGAGGCUGUCACCGUCACUGUGGCAUCACUGAGGAAACAUACAUUAGCUUAUGCUGGCUAGCAAGUCCUCCUAAUGUGUGAAAUUGCUCAUGUAGUUCAAAAACACCGCUCGGACAUCUGCCUGAUCAGGACAACAAGGUUUUUCAGAGACAGGGUGCAGGUCACCAUGUUGAGAUGCAGAGGCUGUAGGGUACAUAAACGACACUACAGUGGAUUCAUGACAGAGUAUUUAAAGGUAGAAACGUGGAUUAUGGGUAGAUGAUUAAAUAUCACAGAAGUAACUUAAUGCCAACUUUGGGUAUGUGUGUGAAUAAUUACUUUUCUCCACUUCAUUUAAAAGACCAAUAUCUUACUUCCCACCACUCUAUAUUUGUGUGAAUGUUCUCUCAAACUGUGCUUGUGCGGAUCUGUGCCAAGUUCCCACUGAGCAAUAAACUGCUAUUAGACGUCUAGUUUUUUUAAGAACUAAUUUCAACCAUCUAGAUUUUGUAUAUAUUUAGACAGAAUUUAGACGUUGCACUUUAACCCAUUAUUCCAUAACUAUCUACUUCAAAAAGCAACUGUGAGUUGCAUAACUGAUCUCCAAGUACUGAACCAAAAUAAUUAUGAUAGUUGUUGAGCAAUAAACAGUGUAGUAUAGAUAUAGCCCAGAUUUAGACUUGGUCUAAAUUUAGACGUCUAAAAAACGUUCAUUUUUAGACCUGUGGUAGCCUGAUUUUAGACCAGUCGUCCAGGCUCUAUUUAGACGUCUAUUAGACCUUUUUUAGACCAAAAAAUGCUCAGCGGGUUAAUGAUGUUGCCACACACCAGUAGGUCUACAUCACUUGUCUCGUUGGUUGAAUGUAGAGCGAAUGUGGAACACUAAAUGAUCAUACAGUUCAUUUAGUGGUGGUAACGAUGGCUACAGCAGAGAAGGAUAGGCCUUCUCCACUUGCUAUUUAUAUUUUAUAAUUGUCUGUUCUUGUUAUUUUAGAGCUGCAAAUGUGGAAAAUUUUUAACACUUUAGUUAAAAAUGUAAAUAAACAUAACAUAGCAAAGGGUGACCAUACGUCCUGUUUUACCCGGACAUGUCCCCUUUUUGGGGGGCCGUACGGGCUUGUCCGGGGGAGUUUGUAAAAUCCUUCAAAUGUCCGCGGUUUUGUACGAGAGUUGCGAUUUUGUGUCACAUGGACUUACUGAGUUAGAAGCACGUAAAAGACACUUGAUCCGACCCGAAAUACUAUCAAAAUUAACUUUGUGCAACUGUGUGACUCCGCCCCCUCGUAGUUGUGUCUACUUUUUGGGAAGUCAGAAUAUAAUCACCCUAACAUAGCAGAAUGUACACCCAUGUAUUCUUGACACUUGUAUUCUUGUGCAUUGGAAAAAUGCAAUUAUAUUUCAGAGUAUUCAAGUACUUUGAUGGAGCAACUAUCUCUUGUUUUGGAGCAACAUCUGACCUGAAGUAUCUAUACUUUGACUCAAUGCUAAUGCUGAUGGUGUUCAUAUGAAAUGGGCUAGCAGUAGACAGGGCCAGUGUUGUGCAUAAUCCUGGUGAGCUAAAUGUCAAUAAUGGAUGAACUUUAUAAUUCAGUUUUUGGUCUUUGUUCGUAUGUACUUGUUUUCUUUAGCCUAGCAGGGCUGCAGUUUUAUCCCCCUGUGGAAGCUUACAGAAAAAUAACGUCAGGCUAAUUUGCUGCGUUUGGGGUCAAUUAUAAAUUUGAUUGCAGUUCCUUCACAUUGGUUGUAUCUGUAAGCUCAAAUAUGUUGGUUACAGAUCUAAAGUUAUUCUGCCAGCUCAUCUUCCAGUAGUUUCAUGCACUGCGAGGAAGCUGAAUCCAGAGGCCUGAUGGGAUUGCGACUGGGUGGGGCAGCUGUAUGACUGUGCAGGGGUUGAGGGCACACAGAAGGCAGAGUCUGCUCAGCUGAGAGCAAUGUCUCACCAAGGUACCAGAAUUUCUUCAUUAACGAAGACACACAGACAUCAGAGGAUGGGGUGGGGGUUUGGGGAGGACGAGGGGGCGGUCUGCAAACACACCUCCCUGACUUGCUGUUCCAGACUUGACAACUUGUUUUUUGGCAGCGGCCCCUCGUAAAUCAGCCGCAAGACCCUGCACAAUGUGACUCAUCGUCAUAAUCGAGGUGUUUGCGGAGGCCGCUUCGCCCUUCUGUCUUCUUCCGUAAGACUGCUUGGUGUCUGAUUCCUGGAAACAGAGGAGGAAUAUGUGAGGGGACAUCAGGGCAAACAUAGACCGAGGAAUUAGAAAAGAAGUUUGACUUCAGCUCCUUAACACCGUUCGAUUCAUUUCUUCCCACCUAACAUAUGAAAUCUGUGGUUUAGGUGUGCUUAAUGCUGACUCUAAAACCCGAUACACCCAAAAGUACUCACCAUGAGGUAAUAGUGACCCAGCCCAAUAUGUGCAUCUGUUGUUUAUAGUGUCCGUCCUCCACACCUGGGUGCUGGGCACACUCUGUAAAGCGUAUUUGUUACACACACUUCCAGAGGAGGAGAGGAGGCCGGAGUCUGCAAAGUCAAACUCCAAUUGUCAAUUAGUGAAGGCCAACACGGGCUGCAGGCUGAGGUGUACAGAGCAGAUCAACCGUCCUGGAGGACAAAGACUUCAGUCAGUUCAGGGACUUCAGGUUAACACACACACACACACACACACACACACACUCAAAUGCAUACACACACAGACAUAAGUGAGAGGGGUGAGAUGACCCGGGGCUCAGCAGGACCUGUUUAUCACUGCAGACUUAGCAAAGACCAUCAGCAAACAUCCUCCCCAUCAAGUCUGGAAAACUCCUCAUAAACACACACACACACACACACACACACACACACACACACACACACACACACACACACACACACACACACACACACAAACCCACAUACACUCACAUUACAACUUAAAAGCCAAAUAGCUCUUUUAUUUCCUGUUUUUGAUAUUGAUCAUAUUGUUCUUGACUGUAAAAGGUUUAGUCAAAUAAAUAAUUAGCUUUUUUAAAAAUAGCCCAAGACUUCACCCAGUGUACUUCAUCAGGUACUGACAGUCAGCUCAACAGAAUCAAAUUACAUUUAAGUUAUAACUCAUUAAAAAUACCAGUUGUUCCAAUAAUUAAAGUAUGAGAAUAUCACAAAUGAGGAAUUAUCAUAUUCAAAAAACAACCCAAAUUCCCAAUUUGUGAUACAAACAGAAUUUAAAACCUAUAACCUAUAUUUGAUACAGAGACAGCAUAUUAAAUGUUGAACUUGAAAAAGUUGUUUCACGAAAAUUUGAUAUUUGAUGCUCGCAACACCAAAAUGUUUCAAAAUCUAAGGAUUUUAUCAUCUACAGCACAAAAUAUCAGUAAAAGACUCUGAAAGUCUGGAGGAAUCUCUGCACACAAGGCACUAAUCCAAAAUCAAUACUGGAUGGCUGUGAUCAUUAAGGCCCUCAGGCAGCACUGUAUUAAAAACAGACAAAACACUUAAGUACAAAAUCUCCAUAGGAUCAAAAUCACUUACAAAAACCACUGACUGACCUAAACUGCAAUCCCA